rnacentral:rRNA from 1 species
CAGUCGCCGCGGUAAAACGGAGGGUGCAAGCGUUAUCCGGAUUUAUUGGGUUUAAAGGGUCCGUAGGCGGACUUAUAAGUCAGUGGUGAAAGCCUGUCGCUUAACGAUAGAACUGCCAUUGAUACUGUAAGUCUUGAGUAUAUUUGAGGUAGCUGGAAUAAGUAGUGUAGCGGUGAAAUGCAUAGAUAUUACUUAGAACACCAAUUGCGAAGGCAGGUUACCAAGAUAUAACUGACGCUGAGGGACGAAAGCGUGGGUAGCGAACAGGAUUAGAUACCCCGGUAGUCCCUGUCUCUUAUAC